AUCUUCUCUCCCGAGACCUAUAGGAGCCGCCGCCGGCGGUUACCCCUUCCUCUCCUACCGCCCGUCGACCACCUCCUGAUUCCCCUAUGUGUCAUCGCCACCAACGUGUUCUCGCGACCUUGGGCAUGCGCCAUCGGCACCACUAUUUAGGAUCUGAGCGCAAGAAGAAUUGGCCCAGGUGUAGCAUGGUAUCACCAGCAGCGGAAGCGGGCAGUCUAUCUUGUUGGCGGCAGCGGAAGCGGCCACAACGACCUCCCACAAUCCGUCUACUCGAUUUGGUAUGGAGCAUUACUGGCCAGCCACAGAUAAAGUUCACUAAAAUUAUGUAAUCUUAGUCAUAUUCAUUGCUUGUACAUAAAACCAUGUCCUCAGUUGUGUGUUGAAAGGAUUAUGCAAUUUUGUCAACCACUUUGUGAAUCAUUUGUAUUUUGUAGUUGUCUACACCUCGACAUCUGAUGUAUCUAAGGCUAAUAUUCUACAUAUGCGAGUAUGACACUUACAACGUCUAGAUGCUACAUCAGUUGGUUCGGUAUAAAUCAGCUAUGAUAUGUUUGUUUUUUUGUGUUUUAGCCCGUUGUCAACAACCUACAAUUAUAUUUAAAUUUUGCAUGUUGUUGCGGGAAACAAACACAUAUGGGUUUCCUAAGUUGGUUGAAGGAAACUGCAUGAAUGAUAUGGAGUAUAUCAUUUUUCGAGCCCAUCGUCCUUUGAGUAAAGCUUAGAACUUUCAAGAAGGUGUGACAGCAACAACACGAAUCAAGGUAUCUUGAUCGGAUGGCCAAAUUGCGGUUAACUGUUCUGUCCUGUCCAACCGUUAUCUCUCUGAUAACUACACUCCUUAUUUGCUAAUAGUGCAUUCAUGGAGUACAUUUCUCUUCAGAUAUAUAUGAUAUUCAAUUUUCUUAGCAUGGACGCUUUUUCGUGGACCUUCCCUAUAGUAUC